GCCAGGCGUGGUGGUGCGUGCCUGUCGUCCCAGCUACUCGGGAGGCUGAGGGGGGAGGAUCGCUUGAGUCCAGGCGUUCUGGGCUGCAGUGCGCUACGCCAGUCGGGUAUCCGCACUAAGUUCGGCAUCAAUAUGGUGACCUCCCGGGAGCGGGGGACCACCAGGUGGCCUAAGGAGGGGUGAACCGGCCCAGUUCGGAAACGGAGCAGGUCAAAACUCCCAUGCUGAUCAGUAGUGAGAUCGCACCUGUGAAUAGACAUAGCACUCCAGCCUGGGCAACAUAGCGAGACCCCAUCUCU
rnacentral:SRP_RNA from 1 species